UAGGGAAUCUUCGGCAAUGGGGGGAACCCUGACCGAGCAACGCCGCGUGAGUGAAGAAGGUUUUCGGAUCGUAAAGCUCUGUUGUUAAGGAAGAACGAGAGUGAGAAUGGAAAGUUCAUACUGUGACGGUACUUAACCAGAAAGGGACGGCUAACUACGUGCCAGCAGCCUCGGUAAUACGUAGGUCCCGAGCGCUGUCCGGAUUUAUUGGGCGUAAAGCGAGCGCAGGCGGUUAGAUAAGUCUGAAGUUAAAGGCAGUGGCUCAACCAUUGUAGGCUUUGGAAACUGUUUAACUUGAGUGCAGGAGGGGAGAGUGGAAUUCCGUGUGUAGCGGUGAAAUGCGUAGAUAUAUGGGAGAACACCGGUGGCGAAAGCGGCUCUCUGGUCUGUAACUGGCGCUGAGGCUCGAAAGCGUGGGGAGCGAACAGG
rnacentral:rRNA from 1 species